UGUUCAAGAAAUCAUUUUUAGGCAGCGCUUAAGCGCUGAGCUACAGCUAAACGCUUCGCUUCUGCCCUAGGUGGAACUUUUAGCGUUGAGCUUCAGUGGUGGCGGCUCCAGCUCUGCAUCCAGCGAUGACUGCUCCUCCUCCUCCUAGAGGUCCACCCCUACUGCAUCUGAACGCAGACAGCUCCUCCUCCUCCUCUUGGAUGUCCACCCCUACAGAUUCAAGUAUCUAUUUGCCAUGGAGUUGGAUAUUUUGGCCAUUACUGAAUUAACGAUUCAAGCAGAGGGAGUUCAUGUUAGAUGGUUCUUGUGACAUUUAUGCUGUACUUUGCGAUUUUUGGUGGUUAAGUCACCUACUUGUCAACAAUCUUGGAACAGUUUCGAAACAUUAGUUAAGUUAAUUUUUGAGUGCAUCUAGCUUCAUAUUUGAA